rnacentral:rRNA from 1 species
CAGUAGCCACGGUAAAACGAAGGGGGCUAGCGUUGCUCGGAAUUACUGGGCGUAAAGGGAGCGUAGGCGGAUCGUUAAGUUGGGGGUGAAAGCCCGGGGCUCAACCUCGGAACCGCCUUCAAUACUGGCGAUCUUGAGUAUGAGAGAGGUGAGUAGAACUCCGAGUGUAGAGGUGAAAUUCGUAGAUAUUCGGAAGAACACCAGUGGCGAAGGCGACUCACUGGCUCAUUACUGACGCUGAGGCUCGAAAGCGUGGGGAGCAAACAGGAUUAGAUACCCGUGUAGUCCCUGUCUCUUAUAC